AAGAAACGGGGCCACCGUGCUUGGGGCUUCUCCUCUGGCAGAAGGGAACUCAAACCCUGUCUCUUUCCCCAGGUCUCGGAGGAGGCUUCGGAUACGUGGUUGGCGGAAUCCACUGGGAUAAAACGGGCUUCGGGAGGGCCCUGGGGGGGCAGCUCCGUGUCAUUUACCUCUUCACCGCGGUCACCCUGAGCGUCACCACCGUCCUGACCCUGGUCAGCAUCCCUGAGAGGCCGCUGCGGCCGCCGGGUGAGAAGCGGGCAGCCAUGAAGAGCCCCAGCCUCCCGCUGCCCCCGUCCCCGCCCGUCCUGCCAGAGGAAGGCCCCGGCGACACCCUCCCGUCGCACACGGCCACCAACUUCUCCAGCCCCAUCUCCCCGCCCAGCCCCCUCACGCCCAAGUACGGCAGCUUCAUCAGCAGGGACAGCUCCCUGACGGGCAUCAGCGAGUUCGCGUCAUCCUUCGGCACGGCCAACAUAGACAGCGUCCUCAUCGACUGCUUCACGGGUGGCCACGACAGCUACCUGGCCAUCCCCGGCAGCGUCCCCCGGCCGCCCAUCAGCGUCAGCUUCCCCCGUGCCCCCGACGGCUUCUACCGCCAGGACCGUGGACUUCUGGAGGGCAGAGAGGGUGCCCUGACCUCCGGCUGUGACGGGGACAUUCUGAGGGUGGGCUCCUUGGACACCUCUAAGCCAAGGUCAUCAGGGAUUCUGAAGAGACCCCAGACCUUGGCCAUCCCGGACAUGGCCGGAGGAGGGGGUCCCGAAACCAGCAGGAGAAGGAAUGUGACCUUCAGUCAGCAGGUCGCCAACAUCCUGCUCAACGGCGUGAAGUACGAGAGCGAGCUGACGGGCUCCAGCGAGCGCGCGGAGCAGCCUCUGUCCGUGGGGCGCCUGUGCUCCACCAUCUGCAACAUGCCCAAGGCGCUACGCACCCUCUGCGUCAACCACUUCCUGGGGUGGCUGUCGUUCGAGGGGAUGCUGCUCUUCUACACAGACUUCAUGGGUGAGGUGGUGUUUCAGGGGGACCCCAAGGCCCCGCACACGUCAGAGGCGUAUCAGAAGUACAACAGCGGCGUGACCAUGGGCUGCUGGGGCAUGUGUAUCUACGCCUUCAGUGCCGCCUUCUACUCAGCUAUCCUGGAGAAGCUGGAGGAGUUCCUCAGCGUCCGCACCCUCUACUUCAUCGCCUAUCUCGCCUUCGGCCUGGGGACUGGGCUCGCCACCCUCUCCAGGAACCUCUACGUGGUCCUGUCGCUCUGCAUAACCUACGGGAUUUUAUUUUCCACCCUGUGCACCUUGCCCUACUCGCUGCUCUGCGAUUACUACCAGAGUAAGAAGUUUGCAGGGUCCAGUGCGGACGGCACCCGGCGGGGCAUGGGCGUGGACAUCUCUCUGCUGAGCUGCCAGUACUUCCUGGCUCAGAUUCUGGUCUCCCUUGUCCUGGGGCCCCUGACCUCGGCUGUGGGCAGCGCCAAUGGGGUGAUGUACUUCUCCAGCCUCGUGUCCUUCCUGGGCUGCCUGUACUCCUCCCUGUUUGUCAUUUAUGAAAUUCCUCCCAGCGACGCUGCAGACGAGGAGCACCGGCCCCUCCUGCUUAACGUCUGACAUCGCGGAGCCUCAACUCUGGACACGCGCCUUCACCUGGGGGUCUGGAGCAGGCCGACCAGUGAGGACCAAAGGGCCUUGUUGGACAGGGGGACAGGCUGCCUACUGGAAUGUAAAUAUGUGAUAAAAAAAUAAUAAAUGACAGCG
rnacentral:sRNA from 1 species